rnacentral:rRNA from 1 species
CGGACGGGUGAGUAAUGUCUGGGAAACUGCCCGAUGGAGGGGGAUAACUACUGGAAACGGUAGCUAAUACCGCAUAACGUCGCAAGACCAAAGAGGGGGACCUCCGGGCCUCGCGCCAUCAGAUGAACCCAUAUGGGAUUAGCUAGUAGGUGAGGUAACGGCUCACCUAGGCGACGAUCCCUAGCUGGUCUGAGAGGAUGACCAACCACACUGGAACUGAGACACGGUCCAG